UUUUAGUAUUCUUAAUUGGUGGAAGGAAAAUUGCACCCGUUAUCCUAUAUUAGCAACCUUGGUUCGGGAUGUGUUGGCAACACCUGUUUCUAGUGUAGCCUCAGAAAGUGCUUUUAGCACGGGGGGGAGGAUUUUAGAUAUCUAUAGGAGCUCUUUGAGUCCAGAUAUGGUCGAAGCGCUUAUAUGUACUCAAAACUGGUUGAAGCCUUUUGACAAUGAUCUAAAUGUCCUUAAUAUGACUGAAGAAUAUGAGAUUAGUGAAUCAAUUGUUUCAGAGUUUCAAGUAGCUACUGGUGGAGCAGCUGCUCCUACACAGGCUGGGCCUGUUUAAUUCUCGCCUAGCUGUGAAUUUUUGAAUAUUUUGGAGUCACUUUGUGAUUCAAUAAGACAAGCCUUUCUUUUU